AAUACGUAGGUGGCAAGCGUUGUCCGGAUUUACUGGGCGUAAAGGGAGCGUAGGUGGAUAUUUAAGUGGGAUGUGAAAUACUCGGGCUAAACCUGAGUGCUGCAUUCCAAACUGGAUAUCUAGAGUGCAGGAGAGGAAAGUAGAAUUCCUAGUGUAGCGGUGAAAUGCGUAGAGAUUAGGAAGAAUACCAGUGGCGAAGGCGACUUUCUGGACUGUAACUGACACUGAGGCUCGAAAGCGUGGGGAGCAAACAGGA
rnacentral:rRNA from 1 species